GGUGGGCGGAUGCCUACCCGAGAGACCAGGGGAGCUAAGUGAUUGAUGGAGCUUCCGGAAGUCUUGGCGGCUGUACCAGCGCUAAUGUUCCUCCUUUUCCUGAGGUGGAGUGGGCCGAAGAGGUGGUCAGGUAUUCUAAUCACAGAAUUACUGGAGCAUCAAGAAGUGCCUGCAUGCUUGGAAGGGCUUCCAGGCAGAUGAACACACCUCAGCACCGGGUGGCAUUUUCCCAGGGUGCAACCCGGACCGGCUCUGGGUCACACUGACAAGGACAACAGGGUUAACAAUUUCCAGAGACAGCCCGUACAUAGAAGGAAUGUUUACUGAAAAAAAUGAAGAGGGGUCAGGGCAAGGCGAGGAGCAAGAAGCACCCCCAAGGAAACAGAGAAGACCAGUACAACUGUACCUCUUUGCCAGCUGCACCAUCCGUACCAGGUGGCACGUUCCAGAGCCAUAGCCUCUGUUCUAUUCAUCUCCAGUCUCCUGGGGUGGAAGUGUCCAGCACAGAGACUGCCACACUGCAAGACGAAGGGGCUGGACACACGGAAGAGAGAGGCGGAACCCUGCACCCCCUCAACCUCAGCCCUACUGAGUCUCCAAUGGGGCCACGCUUCUGAGUGCACCUCCCCGUGUCAUCUGUAAUGUGAGGGGGAACCAGGCUUGAUAUGGCAUUCCCAAUCCAGGGC
rnacentral:lncRNA from 1 species